UCUAUUUUCAUUUCGUCCAAAUAUACGGUCUCUCCAUCUAUUUCUCCCAAUUAUUAGUGAGAAAAUGUUUAUAUUGUCUCUCUUUAAAUUAGAAAUUUUAAGACCUAUGGUUCAUGAAUUAAACAAUCUAUUCUGCCUAAAUCGCGAUUCUUUUCUCUCCGGUUUCCUUCUCUCUAUUGAUUGCCUUCUCUACAUUGAUGGCCUUCUCUACAUUACUGUAAAUCCUAGUCCAAAUCUGUAUUGCG
rnacentral:lncRNA from 1 species